rnacentral:rRNA from 1 species
CCUACGGGAGGCAGCAGUGGGGAAUCUUGGACAAUGGGCGCAAGCCUGAUCCAGCCAUGCCGCGUGAGUGAUGAAGGCCCUAGGGUCGUAAAGCUCUUUCGCCAGGGAUGAUAAUGACAGUACCUGGUAAAGAAACCCCGGCUAACUCCGUGCCAGCAGCCGCGGUAAUACGGAGGGGGUUAGCGUUGUUCGGAAUUACUGGGCGUAAAGCGCACGUAGGCGGAUCGGAAAGUUGGGGGUGAAAUCCCGGGGCUCAACCCCGGAACUGCCUCCAAAACUAUCGGUCUAGAGUUCGAGAGAGGUGAGUGGAAUUCCGAGUGUAGAGGUGAAAUUCGUAGAUAUUCGGAGGAACACCAGUGGCGAAGGCGGCUCACUGGCUCGAUACUGACGCUGAGGUGCGAAAGUGUGGGGAGCAAACAGGAUUAGAUACCCUGGUAGUCCACACCGUAAACGAUGAAUGCCAGUCGUCGGGUAGCAUGCUAUUCGGUGACACACCUAACGGAUUAAGCAUUCCGCCUGGGGAGUACGGUCGCAAGAUUAAAACUCAAAGGAAUUGACGGGG